rnacentral:rRNA from 1 species
AUACGGAGGGUGCGAGCGUUAAUCGGAAUUACUGGGCGUAAAGCGCGCGUAGGCGGUUAAAUAAGUUGGAUGUGAAAUCCCCGGGCUCAACCUGGGAACUGCAUUCAAAACUGUUUAACUAGAGUAUGGUAGAGGGAAGUGGAGUUCCAGGUGUAGCGGUGAAAUGCGUAGAUAUCUGGAGGAACAUCAGUGGCGAAGGCGACUUCCUGGAUCAAUACUGACGCUGAGGUGCGAAAGCGUGGGGAGCAAACAGGAUUAGAAACCCGGGUAGUCC